rnacentral:tRNA from 1 species
GAUAUCUUGUCCGAGAGGUUAAGGAGGUACACUGCUAGGGCUACACCAACUUGUAGAUGUAUUAUCGUAAGAUGCGUGAGUUCGAAUCUCACAGAUAUCG